GACGAACGCUGGCGGCGUGCUUAACACAUGCAAGUCGAACGGAAAGGCCCUGCUUUUGUGGGGUGCUCGAGUGGCGAACGGGUGAGUAACACGUGAGUAACCUGCCCUUGACUUUGGGAUAACUUCAGGAAACUGGGGCUAAUACCGGAUAGGAGCUCCUGCUGCACGGUGGGGGUUGGAAAGUUUCGGCGGUUGGGGAUGGACUCGCGGCUUAUCAGCUUGUUGGUGGGGUAGUGGCUUACCAAGGCUUUGACGGGUAGCCGGCCUGAGAGGGUGACCGGCCACAUGGGGACUGAGAUACGGCCCAGACUCCUACGGGAGGCAGCAGUGGGGAAUAUUGCACAAUGGGCGGAAGCCUGAUGCAGCAACGCCGCGUGCGGGAUGACGGCCUUCGGGUUGUAAACCGCUUUCGCCUGUGACGAAGCGUGAGUGACGGUAAUGGGUAAAGAAGCACCGGCUAACUACGU
rnacentral:rRNA from 1 species